rnacentral:rRNA from 1 species
AGAGUGAACGCUGGCGGUUGGCCUAACACAUGCAAGUCGAACGGCAGCACAGGAGAGCUUGCUCUCUGGGUGGCGAGUGGCGGGACGGGUGAGGAAUACAUCGGAAUCUACCUUUUCGUGGGGGAUAACGUAGGGAAACUUACGCUAAUACCGCAUAAGACCUUCGGGUGAAAGCCGGGGACCUUCGGGCCUGGCGCGGAUAGAUGAGCCGAUGUCGGAUUAGCUUGUUGGACGGGGUAAAAGCCC